rnacentral:rRNA from 1 species
GACAGAGGGUGCAAACGUUGUUCGGAAUUACUGGGCGUAAAGCGUACGCAGGUGGCGAAGCAAGUCGGAUGUGAAAGCCCGGGGCUCAACCCCGGAUGUGCAUCCGAUACUGUUUUGCUGGAGUCCGGAAGAGGAGAGCGGAAUUCCCAGUGUAGAGGUGAAAUUCGUAGAUAUUGGGAAGAACACCGGUGGCGAAGGCGGCUCUCUGGUCCGGUACUGACACUCAAGUACGAAAGCGUGGGGAGCAAACAGG